rnacentral:rRNA from 1 species
UGACUUCGCUGAUCUGACGAGACUGGGU